rnacentral:rRNA from 1 species
UACAGAGGUCCCAAGCGUUGUUCGGAUUCAUUGGGCGUAAAGGGUGCGUAGGCGGCGGGGUAAGUUGGAUGUGAAAUCUCGGGGCUCAACCCCGAAACUGCAUUCAAUACUGCCUUGCUUGAGUACUGGAGAGGAGACUGGAAUUCAUGGUGUAGCAGUGAAAUGCGUAGAUAUUCGGAAGAACACCAGUGGCGAAGGCGGCUCACUGGCCCGGUACUGACGCUGAGGUGCGAAAGCGUGGGGAGCAAACAGG